rnacentral:tRNA from 1 species
CAUUAAGAAGCUAUGUAUCAGCACUAGCCUUUUAAGCUAGCAAAAGAGGGGACCCCCCCCUCCUUAAUGA